rnacentral:snRNA from 1 species
GGAUGUGAGGGCGAUCUGGCUGUGACAUCUGUCACCUUAUUGAUCGCCAGGGUUGGUUCGGCUGAUCUGGCUGGCUAGCCAGCUGUGCCCUUCCUCCUUCACCGUUGUUCCAUGUGCGUCCCUCCCGAGGAGGAGAGGAGGAAGACCAUCCUUCGGUCAAGGGUGUACAAGUAGCUGCGCUCCCUCCCCUGCUAGAUCCUCCAAACAAGUCUCAAAAUCAAGCUGCCUGUUGUUCUGUUUCAUGGAACAGGUGAAGAGUAUAAAGGAGGACUCAGACAGAGCAAGACUCU